GUCCACGCCGUAAACGAUGGUUACUGGGUGUUCGGGGCGAUUAAGUCCUGAGUGCCUGAGCGAAAGUGUUAAGUAACCCACCUGGGGAGUACGUCCGCAAGGAUGAAACUCAAAGGAAUUGACGGGGCCCGCACAAGCGGUGGAGCAUGUGGUUUAAUUCGAUGAUACGCGAGGAACCUUACCUGGGCUAGAAUGCCCCCUGACCGCCCGUGAAAGCGGGUUUUCCUUCGGGACAGGGUGCAAGGUGCUGCAUGGUUGUCGU
rnacentral:rRNA from 1 species